UGUUGAGGAAGAUAAUGACGGUACUCAACAAGGAAGUGACGGCUAACUACGUGCCAGCAGCCGCGGUAAAACGUAGGUCACAAGCGUUGUCCGGAAUUACUGGGUGUAAAGGGAGCGCAGGCGGGAAGACAAGUUGGAAGUGAAAUCUAUGGGCUCAACCCAUAAACUGCUUUCAAAACUGUUUUUCUUGAGUAGUGCAGAGGUAGGCGGAAUUCCCGGUGUAGCGGUGGAAUGCGUAGAUAUCGGGAGGAACACCAGUGGCGAAGGCGGCCUACUGGGCACCAACUGACGCUGAGGCUCGAAAGUGUGGGUAGCAAACAGGAUUAGAUACCCUGGUAGUCCACACUGUAAACGAUGAUUACUAGGUGUUGGAGGAUUGACCCCUUCAGUGCCGCAGUUAACACAAUAAGUAAUCCACCUGGGGAGUACGACCGCAAGGUUGAAACUCAAAGGAAUUGACGGGGGCCCGCACAAGCAGUGGAGUAUGUGGUUUAAUUCGACGCAACGCGAAGAACCUUACCAAGUCUUGACAUCCUGCGACGAUGCUGGAAACAGUAUUUUCCUUCGGGACGCAGAGACAGGUGGUGCAUGGUUGUCGUCAGCUCGUGUCGUGAGAUGUUGGGUUAAGUCCCGCAACGAGCGCAACCCUUAUGGUCAGUUACUACGCAAGAGGACUCUGGCCGGACUGC
rnacentral:rRNA from 1 species